UACGUAGGGUGCAAGCGUUAAUCGGAAUUACUGGGCGUAAAGCGUGCGCAGGCGGUUUUGUAAGUCUGUCGUGAAAGCCCCCGGGCUCAACCUGGGAAUUGCGAUGGAGACUGCAAGGCUUGAAUCUGGCAGAGGGGGGGUAGAAUUCCACGGUGUAGCAGUGAAAUGCGUAGAGAUGUGGAGGAACACCGAUGGCGAAGGCAGCCCCCCUGGGUCAAGAUUGACGCUCAUGCACGAAAGCGUGGGGAGCAAACAGGA
rnacentral:rRNA from 1 species